GUUGCCCAACAAAAGCCAGUAGGUGUUUCAUGCACCACAGCAAACUCUACUGAGUAUGAAAUGACUAUGCUCUGCGUGAUGGAGUUAAAGUAGACUAGAGCGGACAGACAAACCGGGAAGAUCACCUGUAAAGGAAACUGAUCAUUCCCAUGAUGGAAGCAGAUGAAUGCGUAAGUGUUUGACUGUCCCAGGAAGACGUAAGAAGGAGACCUCAAGGCACAAAUUAUUUAACGAACACGAAGAUAAUGCAACAUCACAGACGCUGAACUCCAGGGAGCAGCAGAAAGCCGCAGUGUCCUG
rnacentral:lncRNA from 1 species